rnacentral:ncRNA from 2 species
UUAAAUAGUAACGGGAGCUUGGUGUGCCAGGCUGAGAGGAUAGAAUAUAACUAUCGACCGUCAAACCUGAUCUGGGUAAUGCCAGCGGAGGAAUUGGAGUUCUAUUUGUG